rnacentral:rRNA from 1 species
AGAACGGACGCUGGCGGCAUGCCUAAUACAUGCAAGUCGAACGAACUCUUCGGAGUUAGUGGCGCACGGGUGCGUAACGCGUGGGAAUCUGCCCCUUGGUUCGGAAUAACAGUUGGAAACGACUGCUAAUACCGGAUGAUGACGAAAGUCCAAAGAUUUAUCGCCAAGGGAUGAGCCCGCGUAGGAUUAGCUAGUUGGUGAGGUAAAGGCUCACCAAGGCAACGAUCCUUAGCUGGUCUGAGAGGAUGAUCAGCCACACUGGGACUGAGACACGGCCCAGACCUCCGUACGGGAGGCAGCAGUAGGGAAUA